CAUCAAGAAGCUAAGUAAGCAUUAACCUUUUAAGUUAAAGACUGAGGACAUAGUACCCUCCUUGAUGA
rnacentral:tRNA from 2 species